rnacentral:rRNA from 1 species
UACAGAGGUCCCAAGCGUUGUUCGGAUUCACUGGGCGUAAAGGGUGCGUAGGUGGCCAGGUAAGUCUGAUGUGAAAUCUCGGAGCUCAACUCCGAAACUGCAUUGGAUACUAUCUGGCUGGAGGGUCGGAGGGGGGACUGGAAUUCUCGGUGUAGCAGUGAAAUGCGUAGAUAUCGGGAGGAACACCUGUGGCGAAAGCGGCGCACUGGACCAUAACUGACGCUGAGGCGCGAAAGCUAGGGGAGCAAACAGG